GAUGAACGCUGGCGGCGUGCUUAACACAUGCAAGUCGAACGGGAUCCAUCGGGCUUUGCUUGGUGGUGAGAGUGGCGAACGGGUGAGUAAUGCGUGACCGACCUGCCCCAUGCUCCGGAAUAGCUCCUGGAAACGGGUGGUAAUGCCGGAUGUUCCACAUGAUCGCAUGUGAUUGUGGGAAAGAUUUCAUCGGCGUGGGAUGGGGUCGCGUCCUAUCAGCUUGUUGGUGAGGUAACGGCUCACCAAGGCUUCGACGGGUAGCCGGCCUGAGAGGGCGACCGGCCACAUUGGGACUGAGAUACGGCCCAGACUCCUACGGGAGGCAGCAGUGGGGAAUAUUGCACAAUGGGCGCAAGCCUGAUGCAGCGACGCCGCGUGAGGGAUGGAGGCCUUCGGGUUGUAAACCUCUUUUGUUUGGGAGCAAGCCUUCGGGGAG
rnacentral:rRNA from 1 species